CGAUCCUGGCUCAGGAUGAACGCUAGCGGCAGGCUUAACACAUGCAAGUCGAGGGGCAUCGGGAGUAGCAAUACUGCCGGCGACCGGCGCAAGGGUGCGUAACGCGUGAGCAACAUGCCCGUAUCAGGGGGAUAAUCCAUGGAAACGUGGUCUAAUACCCCAUAGUAAUUAUGUAAGGCAUCUUAUAUAAUUUAAAGCUUUGGUGGAUACGGAUUGGCUCGCGUGACAUUAGCUGGAUGGUAAGGUAACGGCUUACCAUGGCUACGAUGUCUAGGGGUUCUGAGAGGAAGGUCCCCCACACUGGAACUGAGACACGGUCCAGACUCCUACGGGAGGCAGCAGUGAGGAAUAUUGGACAAUGGAUGGAAAUCUGAUCCAGCCAUGCCGCGUGCCAGGAAGACGGCCCUAUGGGUUGUAAACUGCUUUUGUAUGGGAGCAAUAAGGGCUACGUGUAGUCCGAUGAGAGUACCAUACGAAUAAGCACCGGCUAACUCCGUGCCAGCCGCAGC
rnacentral:rRNA from 1 species